GAACUAAACUGAGACAGCAGUUACCUGUAUUUAUACAGCAGAUGCAGAACCCAGAAUCCCUUUCUGUCAUGACAAAUCCUCGAGCCAUGCGAGCCCUAAUGCAGAUCCAGGAGGGACUGCAAACCCUUCAAACCGAAGCCCCUGGUCUUAUGCCCAGUCUGAUACCUGGUGGGAUGGCUGCUGUGCUGGAGGGA